CGACAUCCUGCAAGGCCAAUCCCGCCCUCUUGAGGGCGAGCUGGAUGGCAAUGGCUGGGGU
rnacentral:SRP_RNA from 11 species